rnacentral:rRNA from 1 species
GAUGAACGCUGGCGGCGUGCCUAAUACAUGCAAGUCGAGCGAACAGACGUGGAGCUUGCUCCUCUGACGUUAGCGGCGGACGGGUGAGUAACACGUGGAUAACCUACCUAUAAGACUGGGAUAACUUCGGGAAACCGGAGCUAAUACCGGAUAAUAUAUUGAACCGCAUGGUUCAAUAGUGAAAGACGGUUUUGCUGUCACUUAUAGAUGGAUCCGCGCCGCAUUAGCUAGUUGGUAAGGUAACGGCUUACCAAGGCAACGAUGCGUAGCCGACCUGAGAGGGUGAUCGGCCACACUGGAACUGAGGCACGGUCCAGACUCCUACGGGAGGCAGCAGUAGGGAAUCUUCCGCAAUAGGCGAAAGCCUGACGGAGCAACGCCGCGUGAGUGAUGAAGGUCUUCGGAUCGUAAAACUCUGUUAUUAGGGAAGAACAAAUGUGUAAGUAACUAUGCACGUCUUGACGGUACCUAAUCAGAAAGCCACGGCUAACUACGUG